rnacentral:rRNA from 1 species
AAAUCCGCUUUGAUAAUGCUGGGAUGUGAUGGGGAGCGAAAUUUAGUAGCGAAGUAGCUGAUUUCACACUGUCAAGAAAAGUCUCUAUCGAGGUUAAAUGUACCCGGACCGCAAACCGACACAGGGGGGUGAGGAGAGUAUCCUAAGGCCAGCGAGAGAACUGUUGUUAAGGAACUCGGCAAAAUGACCCCGUAACUUAGGGAUAAGGGGUGCCACCAUCAGGUGGCCGCAGAGAAUAGGCCCAAGCGACUGU